rnacentral:rRNA from 1 species
UACGUAGGGGGCAAGCGUUGUCCGGAUUUAUUGGGCGUAAAGAGCGUGUAGGCGGCUUGGCAAGUCCGCUGUGAAACUCGAGGCUCAACCUCGAGAGGUCGGUGGAAACUGCCUGGCUAGAGUCCGGAAGAGGAGAGUGGAAUUCCUGGUGUAGCGGUGAAAUGCGCAGAUAUCAGGAGGAACACCAAUUGCGAAGGCAGCUCGCUGGGACGUUACUGACGCUGAGACGCGAAAGCGUGGGGAGCAAACAGG